AUUGAACGCUGGCGGCAUGCCUUACACAUGCAAGUCGAACGGCAGCACGGACUUCGGUCUGGUGGCGAGUGGCGAACGGGUGAGUAAUGUAUCGGAACGUACCAUUGAGUGGGGGAUAACGUAGCGAAAGUUACGCUAAUACCGCAUAUUCUCUCCGGAGGAAAGCAGGGGACCGCAAGGCCUUGCGCUCUUUGAGCGGCCGAUAUCAGAUUAGCUAGUUGGUGGGGUAAAAGCUCACCAAGGCGACGAUCUGUAGCGGGUCUGAGAGGAUGAUCCGCCACACUGGAACUGAGACACGGUCCAGACUCCUACGGGAGGCAGCAGUGGGGAAUUUUGGACAAUGGGGGCAACCCUGAUCCAGCCAUGCCGCGUGAGUGAAGAAGGCCUUCGGGUUGUAAAGCUCUUUCGGCCGGGAAAAAAUCGCAUGGGCUAAUAUCCUGUGUGGAUGAUGGUACCGGAAUAAGAAGCACCGGCUAACUACGUGCCAGCCGCCGCCGUAA
rnacentral:rRNA from 1 species